rnacentral:rRNA from 1 species
UUGUCCUACGGGGGGCAGCAGUGAGGAAUAUUGGUCAAUGGGCGGAAGCCUGAAUCAGCCAAGUCGCGUGAGGGAAUAAGGCCCUACGGGUCGUAAACCUCUUUUGCCGGGGAGCAAGGGCGGGGACGUGUCCCGGCCCGGAGAGUACCCGGAGAAAAAGCAUCGGCUAACUCCGUGCCAGCAGCCGCGGUAAUACGGAGGAUGCGAGCGUUAUCCGGAUUUAUUGGGUUUAAAGGGUGCGUAGGCGGGCUUUUAAGUGAGAUGUGAAAUACUCGGGCUCAACUUGAGUGCUGCAUUUCAAACUG